rnacentral:tRNA from 1 species
CACAGAGUGCCUGAAAAAGGACUAUUUUGAUGAAAUAGACCAUACAGACCUCUCCUGUCUCUGUGA